CCGGUCUCUUUCUUUCUGUUCGCUUUGCCUAGCUGACAUGGACAAGAACAUGGCGCCUUUAACUGGGAUGCCUGGGUGUUUAUGUUUUCCUGCAUCACUGGUGCAUCCAGAGCUUCCAAAAGUAAUGGUCAUGGAUAGCCAUCCUGGCCAAACUUGAGCUCUGCCGACGCGACCUGGGUUGCGACCUUCAUGAAGAUGUUGGUGCAGCAUACAAGUAAGCAAGCUGUAGUUUUUCCCCUUUACCACAAAUUUCCUGAGGUCUAUCCCGACUGGCCCCUCACAGUAGAGUCGUGUCGUUGGAAAUGCCUCAAAGACGAACUCUGUGGUAUAGCUUUACCCAUCGUGUUACUCCCGUUAACUCUGUGGGCAAAUGCUGCAGGACAAAACGUUUGCACUGUGCACUUCUGACUUCAGGACAAAUCCAAAGGGAAUCAAUUUUAUCCGCGUUAACCUUUCCGAUUUAUUUUUAUUUGCUCAUAUUAACGUUUUCUUCUCAUUGAUUAUUCGUGUCCAGGGGCUGCACGCCUCCUCAGUUAAUAUUCGUCAGUGCAUUAUCACUGACAGUGAACGUUUCCAUAUGGUUUAUAAAAAGGUGUAGACCUAAUGGAUUGUUUUAGAUUCUUGGCAGGUAAGGAACCAUUUUAGAUAAAGGUUUCAACCGUUCAAAUGGACUGUUCCAUUUGGAUUUGUGAAAUAUUGGGAACAUUUAAUGUUUAAGAAAGUGAGUUGUAACACUCUGUGUGCUGUUCUUGUUGCAGCUCUGGUGUCCAGACGAGGGCGCACUUGUCCCACAGCUGGUGAGUGUUGAGCCUGAAUUUCAUGACAAGUUGGUUGAAGGUUGUUUUGAUUUUACAUUUUUCCAGCACUGUGUGGUAUCUGCAUCCAGUCGUAUAUAUCUAACUGGAUUGUUCAAAUGGCAGUGCAAGAGCAACUCGAACACCUUCCGCCAUGGACCUUAUAGCCUUCGUGCGUUGGGUCCAAGGUGGUGACGAGACAUGCCAUGGCUUUAAAAAAAAAAACUCUCCUAGAGUAUUUCUUUUGAUCGCGUGCUUAAAUUGACUUUCUGUUUUGUAGGAACGUCCGUCCUGAGAGACCCUUGCGUUAACGAUGUGGUGCUGUUUAAUGAUUGGUAUGUAUACAUGUCCGUUUAUCCAUCCAGGUUCACACCUACUUCCUGUGUCACUUCAGUAAGCACUUUUUACGGCACUGCUCAAGCAUUUCCCCACAGUCCUAAAUAUUAGAGGAAAUCUUGGGUAUUGCAUAUGUGUGAACUAUUGCGAGGUGUUUGCUGCGUUGUGCUGAUGGGAUUCAAAGCUGGCUGGUUGUUGGAUCACUUCAUGUUUUAAAAGAAAUUCAUAAUUUAAUUUGGCAUGGUAGAAGAGAACCAACAAAUAUAAAACAAUGGAUAGAAAUUGUAAGGGAACAUGUGUUGGUAAAAAAUGACUUCCUGUCUAUGGUUGAAGGAAAGUGGUGUUUGUUUUUUUUAAUUAAAUGGAGGGGUAUGAUUAUAUAACAAUACAUAUGGGUGAAGGACAUGCAAAUACAAGGAUUUUUUCGUGUAAUGCUCCAUUAUAACCUUAGACAAUCUUGUUCUCUCCCUGCCUAGUUUGAUUGUGAUGUGUUGUCUCGUUAUAUAUGCAUGCACGCACCUGUGAUGGUUAACUAGAAGCAUGUAUGACCAUGACUCAUUUUAGGUUGGUGAGGAAAAUCCAGCAAUUAUCAGUUUUAUAGUUUUAUUUCAGUAUUUGUUUUUUCAGUGAGCUUUCUGACAAACGUGGAUUUCUUGAUUUUGAUUUCUCAGUGAGAAUCAUCAAUCAGCCAAUUUUAUUGGUGGAAACCAUAAUCCACUUUUUCCCAAAGUUUCCCUCUUUGGUGUGAAUAAAUACUGCACCCAAAUAUUACCAAACACGGUCAGCACUGUUUCAAAUGCCUUAAAUGUUUCUGCAUUAUUUAACAUGAACAAACUAUUAACCCUAAGCAGUAGUUGACAAUCAGUAAAAUUCUGCCAAACAAAGCAAGUUUGCCAAGGACCAAUUCAUUAAGCAGUGUUUAUUCCAUGAGAGAGAAUCGGGCGUGGGCGUUCCAUAACGUUUGUGCUGGCUGAUUUGGUGCCUGCCAAUGCCGUCACCCAAAGCCCUAGUUUCAGUACUGACGUUUUUAGUGUUGUGCUGAAAUGCAGUGCCGUUUGUGAAACCCUCGCUUGUUUUGUCGCCGUUAUUUUUUGCGGCUGCUGUGUUUCACAUGCCCGGUUUGAGGCCGUGCCGUCAGGCUUUAGCCAGCGAGCGCGCGCACACGAGCACUUGUGGUAUUUUCACAUGAAUUCAGCCACAGCUCUAACCCCCGAGCCUUGACCUGCACUAGUCAGCGUCUAGAAAGAUUUGUUGAGCUGAAAAAAACUGUAAUCAUUAAUUUAACCUGUUUGCAGGUCCAUCCUGAGACUGCACUGAGAUUCAGGAAUCCAAGUCAGGUUUUGAAGUGGGCACAUUGUCGUGGCCGUGGGCUUCUCCGAAACGAACGGUGAGACUCUCUAAGCAGCAGACGGGAUCACAUUUCAAAGGGGGUCAGCCACGUAUCACCACUGGCGAUCCUUAACGCCGUGAUCCCACAUCAGCGCCCUGAGAGAUACCGUGCAGGUUUCUUUUGGAUUGACGAGAUGCCUGCUGUCUGAAGGGCAACAUUUCAAUCUUUUGCAACAUAACGUCUCCGAUACUGAAAAGCAUUUGCAGGCUUUCAGGGACUGCAGUUGUUUACUUUGCACCUCAUUGGUUGGUCAUGUGAUGGACAGUAGUAUCGCUCGGGGGAAGUUCAUGACCGUAGUCCUGCUGUACAGCCGCAAUAAGCAUUCAUUAGCUUUAUAAGAACGCAGUGACGUCUAUAUACGUAAAAUAAUGGGCACAAAGGAUGACAUAAACGCUUUAUUGCGAUGUACAGGACUAAUUUGUAACUUUAGUGCUCGUGUUAUUCCCGUUUAUGAUAUCCUCUGACCUUGGGUUUUUGUUUUUUUGUUUUCUUCCUAGUUCAACAGAUGAACCAGGAAGUCUGCUGAUGAACAAAAGGAUGUCUGCGUGGCUCUCUGUAAUGUUUCCAAUAAAAGUAUUUGAGAUCUGAUGUGUAGGUUUGAAAUGUUUUGUUUUAUCUAAAAACGAAAGCUUGUUUUUAUCCCAUUGUAUUUGUCUCUGUGGUUAACAUGUACAGUACUAACUUCCUUUUAUACCAGAGGAACUACUUGGGUUUUUUUUUUUUUUUUCUGUCUCAUGUUGUCACGUGUUUUUGUUCUUGGGUCGUGUGGGCUUUCUGGCGUCUUGCACAACACGUCCUUCUGGGAAUAUCGUAACGCCAUCAUGCCUGCUUUCAGCAGUUCGUAAUGGGUUUGGUUGUGUUGUAAGAGGUUAGACACGGACAUGUGACAUCUCGCUGUUUAUUGAGAUGUACCCCUACGACGCGGCUUACCCGUCUACCGCCAUUUUGAACUUGUUUAAGGUAAACGAUGAUAUCCGGUAUGAUGAACGAUGACAUGGUGUGAUUGAAACAGGAGGCUGCAUCCUUGUAGGUGUUUAUUGAAAGCGUCAUGGCACAUAAACGCAGAGCCGUUCGUGCGUCACCCGGAUGAUCACAGGAAUACAGAGAGCACUUAAGCAGCAUUAAGACGGGAGACUUUCUGCCAAGCAGAGACUCUGCUCUUGGCGUUUCCCACGGGUCAUGGGAUGCAGAUUAAAGGAUUCUCUUCAGAGAGCACAGCUUUCAGCUCUCCCUUCUUCCCCCCCGUUUGUUUGGCUGAAAGUGCUGCUGUUUGAGAUGUUCCAGUCAGUUUUAUUUUAUACUGAAUCAAAUGUGCUGAGAAAUGGAAAAGGAGGUAGAACAGGCAUCAUGGCUUAUGGCCUGAUGUAGUUUAGCUAUGAUUUAAACUGAUGGUAACGAGUGUAUUUGUGAAGCCUACUUAAUGACACUGAGUUGUUUUUUUUGGCUUUUAUUGUUGAAAGCUGAGGCUCAUGUUAUUAAAAGUUGGUAUGAGCCUAAUUGCUCCCUUGAGUGUGCUCAGUCACAUGAAUUUGUUUCUUAUAGGAUGUUCAUAGGAAACUAUCAAAUCUACGUUUGUAACUGGUUAUGUGGGUCCAAAGUUCAGGAAUAAGAAACUCGAUGCUUCAAUACAUGUGCUGGUAAAUAAUUGGUUUUUGACUCUGUUCUAUGGUCGAUAAGGCAUAUGGGGACUUUUUCUAUCCUCACUGCCAUCCCCC
ensembl:lncRNA